UCGCGUCGUAAGUUUUUAUCGCGGGUUGUUACGGACGCUUGCCGUGGAAGUUACAGCGACUGUUGUUUCAUUAAUGUAGCUUCAGCUCUUCAUUCAGCUCCUUUACCGGUUUCAUCUGACGGAGGAAGAGGCUGAUGGAAGUGGAUGAUGAGCCCCCUCAGACCACUCGCUGUGACACAAGAUGGUCACAGCGACUGUCGGGACUUCCUCACAAGCUCCUGCAGCGCCUCAUGCCUUUCCAACAGGAGGGAGUGGAGUUUGCUUUGUCCAGAAACGGACGAUGCAUGAUCGCYGAUGAGGUAAGCAAACAGUGAACUGAAGUCAGGAAAUCUAUCGUCCUGGGAAAAAAGGCAAAGAAAAAUGAACCUGAGUCUUUGCUGCAUGCCUUCCAAAUUAAUUUGUCAGCUCUGAAACRCACUCCCUUGUGCCUAAUCUGUUUUGACACUGGAAUCAUUCAGAGACCUUAUUACUCUUGGGCCGCACGUAAGCUCGGCCGUCGUAUGCAAUUUGCCACAGAGUCUCCAUG